rnacentral:rRNA from 1 species
CUGCCUGGGUAACCAGGAGGAAGGUGGGGAUGACGUCAAAUCAUCAUGCCCCUUAUGUCCAGGGCUACACACGUGCUACAAUGGUAGGUACAAUAAGACGCAAGACCGUGAGGUGGAGCAAAACUUACAAAACCUAUCUCAGUUCGGAUUGUAGGCUGCAACUCGCCUACAUGAAGCUGGAGUUGCUAGUAAUCGCGAAUCAGAAUGUCGCGGUGAAUACGUUCCCGGGCCUUGUACACACCGCCCGUCACACCAUGAGAGCUGGUAACACCCGAAGUCCGUGAGGUAACCGUAAGGAGCCAGCGGCCGAAGGUGGGAUUAGUGAUUGGGGUGAAGUCGUAACAAGGUAGCCGUAGGAGAACCUGCGGCUGGAUCACCUCCUUUCUAAGGAGA